rnacentral:rRNA from 1 species
GUCUACGACCAUACCAUCCUGAACACGCCCAAUCUUGUCUGAUCUUGGAAGCUAAGGAGGGUUGGGCCUGGUUACUACUUGGAUGGGAGAUGCACAGUUGUUCAAGGUC